rnacentral:rRNA from 1 species
GUCUUUUUGAUGAUAAUUUUAAGUCCAAUCUGCUCACUGAUUUUUUAAAGAGCCGCAGUAUAAUGACUGUGCAAAGGUAGCAUAAUCAAUAGUUUUUUAAUUGAAAACUUGUAUGAAUGAUUAGACGAAAAAUUUGUUUUCUUUAAUUUAUUAAAUUUAAUUUUAAUUUUAAGUGAAAAUGCUUAAUUAUGAUUAAAAGACGAGAAGACCCUAUAGAUUUUUAUUAUUUUUGUUUAUAAGAGAUUUAUUGAAAAAAGAUAAUUGAGUUGGGGCGAUUUUGUAAUAUAUAAAACUUAAUUUGAUUUGACCAUAAAUUAUUGAAUUAUUUUGAUCUAAAAUUUUUAAUAGAAAGAUUAAAUUACCUUAGGGAUAACAGCGUAAUUUUAUUUAAGAGUUCAUAUCUAUAAUGAAGUUUGCGACCUCGAUGUUGAAUUAAGAUAAAGUAUUGGAGUAGAAAUUAAUAUAAUUAGUCUGUUCGACUAUUAAAGUCU